GACGAACGCUGGCGGCGUGCCUAAUACAUGCAAGUUGAGCGCUGAAGGUUGGUACUUGUACCAACUGGAUGAGCAGCGAACGGGUGAGUAACGCGUGGGGAAUCUGCCUUUGAGCGGGGACAACAUUUGGAAACGAAUGCUAAUACCGCAUAAAAAAUUUAAACACAAGUUUUAAGUUUGAAAGAUGCAAUUAAAUCACUCAAAGAUGAUCCCGCGUUGUAUUAGCUAGUUGGUGAGGUAAAGGCUCACCAAGGCGAUGAUACAUAGCCGACCUGAGAGGGUGAUCGGCCACAUUGGGACUGAGACACGGCCCAAACUCCUACGGGAGGCAGCAGUAGGGAAUCUUCGGCAAUGGACGAAAGUCUGACCGAGCAACGCCGCGUGAGUGAAGAAGGUUUUCGGAUCGUAAAACUCUGUUGGUAGAGAAGAACGUUGGUGAGAGUGGAAAGCUCAUCAAGUGACGGUAACUACCCAGAAAGGGACGGCUAACUACGUG
rnacentral:rRNA from 1 species